ACCGGCGAUACCCGAAUGGGGAAACCCAGUGUGAUUCGUCACACUAUCAUUAACUGAAUCCAUAGGUUAAUGAGGCGAACCGGGGGAACUGAAACAUCUAAGUACCCCGAGGAAAAGAAAUCAACCGAGAUUCCCCCAGUAGCGGCGAGCGAACGGGGAGGAGCCCAGAGCCUGAAUCAGCAUGUGUGUUAGUGGAAGCGUCUGGAAAGGCGCGCGAUACAGGGUGACAGCCCCGUACACAAAAGCGCAUGUGCUGUGAGCUCGAUGAGUAGGGCGGGACACGUGGUAUCCUGUCUGAAUAUGGGGGGACCAUCCUCCAAGGCUAAAUACUCCUGACUGACCGAUAGUGAACCAGUACCGUGAGGGAAAGGCGAAAAGAACCCCGGCGAGGGGAGUGAAAAAGAACCUGAAACCGUGUACGUACAAGCAGUGGGAGCCCCACCACCAAAGCAUUCUCUGGUGUUGAAGGCCCUGC
rnacentral:rRNA from 1 species